AUGGCCAUCUUCAGGGUCUUCAACAAGUACCCCACCUCCAAGGUGGUCUACAUUGCUCCUCUCAAAGCUCUGGUCCGAGAGAGGAUUGAGGACUGGAAGAUCAGAAUAGAAGAGAAACUUGGGAGGAAGGUGGUUGAGUUAACAGGUGACGUUACUCCAGACAUG